CCCUUAGAUGUUCUGGGCCGCACGCGCGCUACACUGAUGCAUUCAACGAGUGUACCUUGGCCGAGAGGCCUGGGCAAUCUUUUGAACGUGCAUCGUGAUAGGGAUAGAUUAUUGCAAUUAUUAAUCUUGAACGAGGAAUUCCUAGUAAACGCAGAUCAUCAAUCUGCAUUGAUUACGUCCCUGCCCUUUGUACACACCGCCUGUCGCACCUACCGAUUGGAUGGUCCGGUGAAGCCUCGGGAUUGUGGCGGUUGCCUUUAUUGGUGGCCGCCGCGAGAACUUGUCUAAACCUUAUCAUCUAGAGGAAGGUGAAGUCGUAACA
rnacentral:rRNA from 1 species